rnacentral:rRNA from 1 species
CAGCAGCCGCGGUAAAACGUAGGUGGCAAGCGUUAUCCGGAAUUAUUGGGCGUAAAGCGCGCGUAGGCGGUUUUUUAAGUCUGAUGUGAAAGCCCACGGCUCAACCGUGGAGGGUCAUUGGAAACUGGAAAACUUGAGUGCAGAAGAGGAAAGUGGAAUUCCAUGUGUAGCGGUGAAAUGCGCAGAGAUAUGGAGGAACACCAGUGGCGAAGGCGACUUUCUGGUCUGUAACUGACGCUGAUGUGCGAAAGCGUGGGGAUCAAACAGGAUUAGAUACCCGAGUAGUCCCUGUCUCUUAUAC